rnacentral:rRNA from 1 species
GUUUGAUCCUGGCUCAGGACGAACGCUGGCGGCGUGCUUAACACAUGCAAGUCGAACGAAGAACCUUCCUUCGGGAGGGGGACGAGUGGCGAACGGGUGAGUAACACGUGGGCAACCUGCCCCUCGCUCUGGGAUAACCCCGGGAAACCGGGGCUAAUACCAGAUAUUCAGUUCCGCAGGCAUCUGUGGAGUUGGAAAGGAUUCUGGCGAGGGGAUGGGGCCCGCGGCCUAUCAGCUUGUGGUGGGGUAAUGGCCUACCAAGGCGACGACGGGUAACCGGCCUGAGAGGGCGACCGGGUCACACUGGGACUGAGACACGGCCCAGACUCCUACGGGAGGCAGCAGUGGGGAAUAUUGCGCAAUGGGCGAAGCCUGACGCAGCAACGCCGCGUGAGGGAUGAAGUACGUCGAGGAUGUAAACC